rnacentral:siRNA from 1 species
CGAUCGUGCAUACAAAACCCA